rnacentral:rRNA from 1 species
UACGUAGGGUGCAAGCGUUAAUCGGAAUUACUGGGCGUAAAGCGUGCGCAGGCGGCUUUGCAAGACAGAUGUGAAAUCCCCGGGCUUAACCUGGGAACUGCGCUUGUAACUGGCAAGCUAGAGUGUGGCAGAGGGGGGUGGAAUUCCACGUGUAGCAGUGAAAUGCGUAGAGAUGUGGAGGAACACCGAUGGCGAAGGCAGCCCCCUGGGCUAACACUGACGCUCAUGCACGAAAGCGUGGGGAGCAAACAGG